AGCUUGGACGAUUAGAGCUCACAAAUGAUAUGUCAGAUUCUGCCACUGAGAGGUCUCCAUAUGAUCUGUUUACAGGUUUACCUCUGUUGAAUGGGGACCUGUUGAAAGAGAGACAUAAAAGUUGAGUUGUUCUACACUAACCAACCCUUUCGAGUAGUAAAUUUUGCAGUUCCUCUUAUAUACUGCAUAAAGUAUUGUCCCUUUCCUGAUUGUCUGAAAAACUUACUUGAUGAAAUCUGAAUCUUCAGUUGAACUUCGUGGUGCGUACGGUGACCUAUCAGCCAUACCUCCUGUUGAAAUAGGACAGGUUAAACCUCUUUUAACAAUAUUAUUGUUUCAUUGACAGAAAUUAAUGCAAUACGCUAGUGGAAAGCAGACCUCUUGAGUCGUUGCUUGGUGCAUAACGUGCCUCAAUGAAGCUAAGCUUAGCACCAAGAGAGGAGCUGGUCUGAUUCUGCAGCAGGGAAGGGGGUGGAUUGGGGACAGGAGCAGAUGCAUUACGUAUUGAUAGAACUUUGCCUUUGGCGAUCACAUAAACUGUACAAAAGCCAGGUGCAAUUUUGGACACAGAGCUUGGAACGUCCAUCGUCUUGAAUCUUCUGAGUCUAAGUGUUGUAAGUAGCCAGAUAUGGAAUAAUGCAAUAUUUGUGAAUACUACAGCUUAUUGGGAACAAUAAAAAGUACCUGCUAACGAAACCAUUCCUUGAUGCAGCUCCCAUCACCAGAUUCUCUGUGAUAUUGGCUGCAACAUAGUCACUUAUGGCGUUUGCUAUGUCUAUGCCUUCAAUUACAACUUCAUUGACGUGGAUCUAUGACAAAGGGAGAAACACUGAUUCAGAAAAUGGAAGUACGUUUGCAAGAACGCGAUGAAGAAUGAGUAAGAAAUAGCAGACACUUACAUUCUUGCGGUUGCAGAAGCAACGAAAGGGUAAGAACAAUUCCUUUGCUUGACUAUCAGGAUCACUUCUAUACACUCUGGGAGUUCCGUCAUUAACAUCUGAAAAAUAAACGUUGUUCCAGGUACAUAAAAAAUGCUUUGAACGUAUCCAUAUUUUCUUUUCUUUGGAGGUAGUGGGUAGAAUGGAAUGCACGGUUGAAGCCUGUGACGGAUGUAGGUUUUGAACAAGGUUCAACUAAACCCAGUAUUUCGAUAUAGAGAUAUAUAUGUAAAAGAUCAGUGAAGUUUUAACAAAUAUUAGAUUAUGAGUUCAAUAGGUUCUGUGCUUAGAACUUUAAAAAUUGAAACUAUCAGGUUUAAAUCUCGGAUCCGUCAUUUUUUAAGCCAAGACGGAGACCUCUUAUCAACUAAAAAUACUUCAUGGCAUUUUCUAUGGAGAAAUGGACUUCCAUUUUGAAGUUGCUGUUCCAAUAUUUGGGAAGAAUUAAAUCUGGGUUACAUUUCAUGGUAACUCACUCAUUGGGUUGUUCUGUAGAGAAGGAUAUAAUGAAAGAUUUCAUCCAAAAACAGAAAUAGGAUAGUCCUUCCAUUCCCGUUCCUUUUCCUUCAUAUAUAACAAUAUUUCCUUAUUCGUUCGUUCUAUAAAUGAAUGAUACUUUAUGAAUUUGAAAAUACUUAAACGUUAAGCGUCUUAAUUUACUUUUUAUGUUGUGCAUUUGUCACAUACAUCUCUUAGCAUCAAAGGCGGCUCAAUGGAGUCGGUUGCCUAAAGCUAAGUUUUAAUAAGAGGAUUAAGCUUAUUUAAUAAAACAUUUUGUAUUCAUUUUUGUUUAAAGCUUAUUCUUUUAGAUUUUUAAGAUAUAAAGUUGUCAAUAUUUUUAUAAUCGAUUUCUUAGGAUAUUUCUUUUUCAUUAGACAAUGUAACUAAUUCAUUUAACAAAUCAAAAAUAUUAUAUACAUUUCAUGUUUAAUUUUAAUUAGCUAAGCGUAUUUAUAGAGGCUGCGAGGAGCUGCGAGCGGCUGGAGAUUGUUGGCGGUUGGCGAGGCAGAGGGAGGCCUAAGAAGCAN
rnacentral:lncRNA from 1 species